rnacentral:sRNA from 1 species
GCGCUCCACACAAUAGUAAUAUUGAGCAUGAGGCCAUCCAAUAGAGGAUGUAACACCAGUAGCUAUGGUUGGUAGGGAUACCAAUUGUUAGUUGCAACGGUGU